rnacentral:lncRNA from 1 species
UUGGAUUUCAUCCAACGGUGAGUUUUUAAAAGAGGGUGCAUGUAGAAUCGGGUUGAAAUCUAACCCGUUAGAAACCCAACUUCAGUUGAAGAUCUUCCCCUCUUUCCCUCCCUGUGAAAAACUCAAGAACACAAUCCUCUCUUUUUGAAUGUAAAGCAAACCCACAAUUAGAAGGAUCCAAAUCCCCCAAACCUUAUAGUCACUCGAUUGUCAUUAGCUCCUUGGGAGGCCUGCGAUCUAUGGUAUCCUCGGUAUUAUGAAGAAUGGCUCUUACCUAGCUGUUGCCUAG